UCUCCAGCCGCGGGUCCACUGUGUUCUUGUCAUUAAGGACAAGCUGAAAUUACUCCAGAUGCAGACGAGGUAUGGAGGCUGGCAGACAGAUGGCACGGACCAGCGGGCAGGGCUGCAACCAUUUGUGUUCUUGUUGCAGUGGUGAGUGGUGUCUUGGCCCACGGAUUACUGUGUCCGGUUGUAAUCCCGCACCCUCGUCCACUCGGUGUCAGAGCAAGGGCUUGUGAGCUGUAAUCAUUAUGUCGUAAGGAUUUAUCCUGCAUGUCCCCUCCACCCCACCCCACCCUACCCCACCCCAUUCCAUCCUGCUCUGUUUCUCUCUCUCACUUAUCCUCUUCUCUCUUCUCCUACCGCGUCUCCCUCCCUCGCUAAGUCCCACACUGUGGUUCUUAUAUUUCUCAAGCUCUCACACACGUUUUUAGUUAUCUGUCAUUCUAUCAGGAUAUCUGCUUUCUCUCCUCCUUCUUUCAUUCACCCUUGAGAGAUGCAAGUCAUCAACAGGUCCAAGAGAUGAUGCUUUCUCUGUGUUGCUAAAGAGAACUCUCUGGUCAGUUCGGGCGAGCUUAGCCGGAGGCUCCAGAGACUCGUCACCGAGAGCGGAUCCAUCAGCCGGCAGAGACAAUUCCUGACACUCAUCAUCACUCUCCUCUUCCUCCUCAUCCUCCUCUUCUGACAAACACACACAAAGGAAUGGUUACAACUGCAGAUGUGACAGAGAAAGAGCCGCAUGGGAGCUGAAGGACGGCUCACCUGUAGAAGCUCCAUCUGAGCAGAAAGAGUUUAGCAGCUUUGGGGAAGGCCGGGCUGGCCUGGUACGGCUUUAGGACCUGGGAGACAACACCAUCCAACCAGGCAGCC